UGAGUGUAGGCAACGAGGAUGGCCGACAUCGUAUCAUCGUGAGACUAUUCUUGAACCCCUUCACGAACUAAGCAUGGUGGGAAUGACUUAACUAAGUGCAAUGGAGCCAAUAUCAUAUCAUUGUGAGGUGACAUUCUCUAGAGGCCAAAUUGAUGGGUACUUGCUGUUGGAAAUGUGCCCUAAAACCAAUCAUAUGAUGAUACUUUACGGACAUUUCACAUGUUAAACUAAUCUAGUUUAAAUAUAAAGGGCAAAGAUUAUUGUCUGAGCCGUCUCAUAUAAAUGUUAUAUGCUUAAACGAUAAGUCCAAGGAAUAUGUGAUUGGGAGAAUGCAAUCUAAAGAAGUUAGAUUCAUGAGACCAUUCUUUUGUAGACACAUCCUAAACGUUCCUGAUCAUAGGAUUGCCGAUUGGGCAUUGACAGUCCGUUAAGAUCAGUACG
rnacentral:lncRNA from 1 species